GCUGCAUCGUGGUUUCCUGCUGGUUCUGGGGGAGCAUCUGCUCUGCUGCCCUUUGGAGCUUAUACAGUUUGCCCACACAGGCAGACUGAACUCCAGACUGACUCUGAGAAGGACGAACAGAAGGUUAUCAUAUUUAAUACCUCUAUCAUGAAGAUGCUGACUGCGUUUCUGCAUGUGUGUCUCAUCAUUGCUGUGACACAAAGUCAUCCUCUUUUUGAGGAAAUUGGGUCAGGUGACUCAAGUAAUGCAGAUGUUGGUUCGCCAGGAGCAACGGGAGACCCACCAUUUGCAACAGAUGUUCCAGAUGAAACAACAACUGUGAUAGCUGACUCAACUACUCAAGAGAGAAUCUAUUAUGACUCAGAGGAAGAUCUAGGAUUUCUGAGAGACAAACCAACUGUGAUAGCUGACUCAACUAAUGAUGAUGGAUACUUUUAUGACUCAGAUGAAGAACUAGGAUAUCCGAGAUGGAGAGAGGAAACAGGCGGGUCUGAUGAUUCAUCUAAUGGAGGUGGAGAAAGUACUGACACAUCAGAAGAUGCACCAGAUGCAGCAGAGGAAACAGGCGGGUCUGAUGAUUCAUCUAAUGGAGAUGGAGAAAGUUCUGACACAUCAGAAGAUGCCCCAGUUGCAGCAGAUGCAGAUGAUGCCUGAAACAAAGACACCACCAUAUCAAGACACAUGAAGUUUUUUAAUAAAGAAAAGAGGGACUGCUUGGAUAACAUUGACUGUAAAACUGGAAACCAUAUGCUCCUGCAACAACUCUCUAACUCAUUCGUAAAAAGCACAAUAGCUGAUGUGUCUGUCUUCAUUACUGUUUCUUCCUCUGUAUUUCUGCAUUAUUGCUAUGAUGCAAGCAAUCAAGCAUCAUGUGCAAUAAAUUGGAACUGGAUAUUCACUUUAAAAGUCAGUAUGAUAAAAAGAAUACUUUCUGCACCUUUAUAUUAUAUAUACUGAGCUGCACUUCAU
ensembl:lncRNA